rnacentral:tRNA from 1 species
GGAGGUUUGGCAGAGUGGUCGAAUGCGGCGGUCUUGAAAACCGUUGUACCGAAAGGUACCGGGGGUUCGAAUCCCUCAGCCUCCG